rnacentral:rRNA from 1 species
AGCGAACGCUGGCGGCAGGCCUAACACAUGCGAGUCGAACGAAGUCUUCGGACUUAGUGGCAGACGGGUGAGUAACACGUGGGAACGUGCCUUUAGGUUCGGAAUAACUCAGGGAAACUUGUGCUAAUACCGAAUGUGCCCUUCGGGGGAAAGAUUUAUCGCCUUUAGAGCGGCCCGCGUCUGAUUAGCUAGUUGGUGAGGUAAAGGCUCACCAAGGCGACGAUCAGUAGCUGGUCUGAGAGGAUGAUCAGCCACAUUGGGACUGAGACACGGCCCAAACUCCUACGGGAGGCAGCAGUGGGGAAUCUUGCGCAAUGGGCGAAAGCCUGACGCAGCCAUGCCGCGUGAAUGAUGAAGGUCUUAGGAUUGUAAAAUUCUUUCACCGGGGACGAUAAUGACGGUACCCGGAGAAGAAGCCCCGGCUAACUUCGUGCCAGCCGCCGCGGUAACAC